GAUGAACGCUGGCGGCGUGCCUAAUACAUGCAAGUCGAGCGAACGGACGAGAAGCUUGCUUCUCUGAUGUUAGCGGCGGACGGGUGAGUAACACGUGGAUAACCUACCUAUAAGACUGGGAUAACUUCGGGAAACCGGAGCUAAUACCGGAUAAUAUUUUGAACCGCAUUGUUCAAAAGUGAAAGACGGUCUUGCUGUCACUUAUAGAUGGAUCCGCGCUGCAUUAGCUAGUUGGUAAGGUAACGGCUUACCAAGGCAACGAUGCAUAGCCGACCUGAGAGAGUGAUAGGCCACACUGGAACUGAGACACGGUCCAGACUCCUACGGGAGGCAGCAGUAGGGAAUCUUCCGCAAUGGGCGAAAGCCUGACGGAGCAACGCCGCGUGAGUGAUGAAGGUCUUCGGAUCGUAAAACUCUGUUAUUAGGGAAGAACAUAUGUGUAAGUAACUGUGCACAUCUUGACGGUACCUAAUCAGAAAGCCACGGCUAACUACGUG
rnacentral:rRNA from 1 species